CUAUACAUGCAGUCGAGCGGACCGACGGGAGCUUGCUCCCUUAGGUCAGCGGCGGACGGGUGAGUAACACGUGGGUAACCUGCCUGUAAGACUGGGAUAACUCCGGGAAACCGGGGCUAAUACCGGAUGCUUGAUUGAACCGCAUGGUUCAAUCAUAAAAGGUGGCUUUUAGCUACCACUUGCAGAUGGACCCGCGGCGCAUUAGCUAGUUGGUGAGGUAACGGCUCACCAAGGCGACGAUGCGUAGCCGACCUGAGAGGGUGAUCGGCCACACUGGGACUGAGACACGGCCCAGACUCCUACGGGAGGCAGCAGUAGGGAAUCUUCCGCAAUGGACGAAAGUCUGACGGAGCAACGCCGCGUGAGUGAUGAAGGUUUUCGGAUCGUAAAACUCUGUUGUUAGGGAAGAACAAGUACCGUUCGAAUAGGGCGGCACCUUGACGGUACCUAACCAGAAAGCCACGGCUAACUACGUGCCAGCAGCCGCGGUAAUACGUAGGUGGCAAGCGUUGUCCGGAAUUAUUGGGCGUAAAGCGCGCGCAGGCGGUUUCUUAAGUCUGAUGUGAAAGCCCCCGGCUCAACCGGGGAGGGUCAUUGGAAACUGGGGAACUUGAGUGCAGAAGAGGAGAGUGGAAUUCCACGUGUAGCGGUGAAAUGCGUAGAGAUGUGGAGGAACACCAGUGGCGAAGGCGACUCUCUGGUCUGUAACUGACGCUGAGGCGCGAAAGCGUGGGGAGCGAACAGGAUUAGAUACCCUGGUAGUCCACGCCGUAAACGAUGAGUGCUAAGUGUUAGAGGGUUUCCGCCCUUUAGUGCUGCAGCAAACGCAUUAAGCACUCCGCCUGGGGAGUACGGUCGCAAGACUGAAACUCAAAGGAAUUGACGGGGGCCCGCACAAGCGGUGGAGCAUGUGGUUUAAUUCGAAGCAACGCGAAGAACCUUACCAGGUCUUGACAUCCUCUGACAACCCUAGAGAUAGGGCUUCCCCUUCGGGGGCAGAGUGACAGGUGGUGCAUGGUUGUCGUCAGCUCGUGUCGUGAGAUGUUGGGUUAAGUCCCGCAACGAGCGCAACCCUUGAUCUUAGUUGCCAGCAUUCAGUUGGGCACCCUAAGGUGACUGCCGGUGACAAACCGGAGGAAAGGGGGG
rnacentral:rRNA from 1 species